rnacentral:rRNA from 1 species
UACGUAGGGGGCAAGCGUUGUCCGGAUUUAUUGGGCGUAAAGCGCUCGCAGGUGGUUCGUCGCGUCGUGCGUGAAAGACCCCGGCUCAACUGGGGAGUGUCGUGCGAUACGGGCGGACUGGAGGCCAGUAGGGGGAUGCGGAAUUCCGGGUGUAGUGGUGGAAUGCGUAGAGAUCCGGAGGAACACCAGCGGCGAAGGCGGCAUCCUGGACUGGUCCUGACACUCAUGAGCGAAAGCGUGGGGAGCGAGUCCGG